rnacentral:rRNA from 1 species
AGCAGUAGCCACGGUAAUACGUAGGUCCCGAGCGUUGUCCGGAUUUAUUGGGCGUAAAGCGAGCGCAGGCGGUUUGAUAAGUCUGAAGUUAAAGGCUGUGGCUCAACCAUAGUUCGCUUUGGAAACUGUCAAACUUGAGUGCAGAAGGGGAGAGUGGAAUUCCAUGUGUAGCGGUGAAAUGCGUAGAUAUAUGGAGGAACACCGGUGGCGAAAGCGGCUCUCUGGUCUGUAACUGACGCUGAGGAGCGAAAGCGUGGGGAGCGAACAGGAUUAGAUACCCCCGUAGUCCCUGUCUCUUAUACC